GCGGGCGUAGUUCAAUGGUAGAACCCAGGCCUUCCAAGCCUGUCAUGGCGGUUCGAUUCCGCUCGCCCGCU
rnacentral:tRNA from 2 species